AUUGAACGCUGGCGGCAGGCUUAACACAUGCAAGUCGAACGGAACCUUCGGGUUUAGUGGCGAACGGGUGAGUAAUACCUAGGAAUCUGCCUAUUAGUGGGGGAUAACGGCUCGAAAGGGUCGCUAAUACCGCAUACGUCCUACGGGAGAAAGAGGGGGAUCUUCGGACCUCUUGCUAAUAGAUGAGCCUAGGCCGGAUUAGCUAGUUGGUAGGGUAAAGGCCUACCAAGGCGACGAUCCGUAGCUGGUCUGAGAGGACGACCAGCCACACUGGGACUGAGACACGGCCCAGACUCCUACGGGAGGCAGCAGUGGGGAAUUUUGGACAAUGGGCGCAAGCCUGAUCCAGCCAUGCCGCGUGCGGGAAGAAGGCCUUCGGGUUGUAAACCGCUUUUGUCAGGGAAGAAAUCUUCUGGGUUAAUACCUCGGGAGGAUGACGGUACCUGAAGAAUAAGCACCGGCUAACUACGUG
rnacentral:rRNA from 1 species